AACCGUGCGAAGGUAGCGUAAUCACUUGUUCUUUAAAUGAGGACUAGUAUGAAUGGCCCCACGAGGGCUGCACUGUCUCCUUUUUCUAAUCAAUGAAACUAAUCUCCCCGUGAAGAAGCGGGGAUAACCAUAUAAGACGAGAAGACCCUAUGGAGCUUAAAACAACUGAAACAUUUGCUUUUACCUUAACUGCCCCAGGGCUCUUUAUUUUAUCUAAGCAUUUUUAUUUCUAGUUUUAGGUUGGGGUGACCACGGAGCAAAACUAAACCUCCACGAAGAAAUGAAUUCUUUUUAAGCCACAAACUACUUUUUUAAGCAUCAACAAAUUGACCUUCAUUGACCCAAUAUAUUGAUCAACGAACCAAGUUACCCUAGGGAUAACAGCGCAAUCUACUUCAAGAGCUCAUAUCGACAAGUAGGUUUACGACCUCGAUGUUGGAUCAGGUAUC
rnacentral:rRNA from 1 species